UACGUAGGGUCCAAGCGUUAUCCGGAAUUACUGGGCGUAAAGAGUUGCGUAGGUGGCAAAGUAAGUAGACAGUGAAAUCGUGUGGCUCAACCAUAUAUACAUUGCCUAAACUGCUUAGCUAGAAGAUGAGAGAGGUCGCUAGAAUUCCUAGUGUAGGAGUGAAAUCCGUAGAUAUUAGGAGGAAUACCGAUGGCGUAGGCAGGCGACUGGCUCAUUCUUGACACUAAGGCACGAAAGCGUGGGGAGCAAACGGG
rnacentral:rRNA from 1 species